rnacentral:rRNA from 1 species
GGAUUCCCCUAGUAACUGCGAGUGAAGCGGGAAAAGCUCAAAUUUAAAAUCUGGCAGUCUCUGGCUGUCCGAGUUGUAAUCUAGAGAAGUGAUGCCCGCGCUGGACCGUGUACAAGUCUCCUGGAAUGGAGCGUCAUAGAGGGUGAGAAUCCCGUCUCUGACACGGACUACCAGGGCUUUGUGGUAUCCUCUCAAAGAGUCGAGUUGUUUGGGAAUGCAGCUCUAAAUGGGUGGUAAAUUCCAUCUAAAGCUAAAUAUUGGCGAGAGACCGAUAGCGAACAAGUACCGUGAGGGAAAGAUGAAAAGAACUUUGGAAAGAGAGUUAAACAGUACGUGAAAUUGCUGAAAGGGAAACGCUUGAAGUCAGUCGCGUUAGCUGGGAAUCAGCCUCGCUCUUGCGUGGUGUACUUUCUGGUUGACGGGUCAGCAUCAAUUUUGACUGCUGGAAAAAGGCUUAGGGAAUGUGGCAGCUUCGGCUGUGUUAUAGCCCUUGGUCACAUACAGCGGUUGGGAUUGAGGAACUCAGCACGCCGCAAGGCCGGGUUUCGACCACGUUCGUGCUUAGGAUGCUGGCAUAAUGGCUUUAAGCGACCCGUCUUGAAACACGGACCAAGGAGUCUAACAUGCCUGCGAGUGUUUGGGUGGUAAACCCGAGCGCGUAAUGAAAGUGAAAGUUGAGAUCCCUGUCGUGGGGAGCAUCGACGCCCGGACUUGAACUUUUGUGACGGAUCCGCGGUAGAGCAUGUAUGUUGGGACCCGAAAGAUGGUGAACUAUGCCUGAAUAGGGUGAAGCCAGAGGAAACUCUGGUGGAGGCUCGUAGCGAUUCUGACGUGCAAAUCGAUCGUCAAAUUUGGGUUAUAGGGGCCGAAAGACUAAUCGAAC